rnacentral:misc_RNA from 1 species
GCGGGACCGAGCGGGAGCAGGGAGGGGGCCGAGGCAGCCCCACGCGGCCCCGGCAGGCGGGCAGGCUGGGGACGUCCAAGCGCGGUGCGAGGCUCCCCGAGGCGCGGCCCGGUCCCGCCGCCGCUUUUUGCUGCAUCACCGGGUGGCGCGGCGCUGCCUUCGGGAUGGGGGAAGGGAGAGGCGC